rnacentral:rRNA from 1 species
CCUACGGGAGGCAGCAGUGAGGAAUAUUGGUCAAUGGCCGAGAGGCUGAACCAGCCAAGUCGCGUGAGGGCAGACGGCCCUACGGGUUGUAAACCUCUUUUGUCGGGGAGCAAAGCGAGUCACGUGUGCCUCCUUGAGAGUACCCGAAGAAAAAGCAUCGGCAAACUCCGUGCCAGCAGCCGCGGUAAUACGGGGGAUGCGAGCGUUAUCCGGAUUUAGUGGGUUUAAGGGGUGCGCAGGGGGAGGUGCAGGUCAGCGGUAAAAUUGCGGGGCUCAACCCCGUACUGCCGUUGAAACGGCAUCCCUUGAGUGCGCGAGAAGUAUGCGGAAUGCGUGGUGUAGCGGUGAAAUGCGUAGAUAUCACGCAGAACUCCGAUUGCGAAGGCAGCAUACCGGCGCGCAACUGACGCUCAUGCACGAAAGCGUGGGUAUCGAACAGGAUUAGAUACCCUAGUAGUC